UGGUGGAGCGAUUUGUCUGGUUAAUUCCGAUAACGAACGAGACUCUAGCCUAUUAAAUAGUUCGCCGAUUACGUUACGUCGGCGUCAACUUCUUAGAGGGACAAGUGGCGUUUAGCCACGCGAGAUUGAGCAAUAACA
rnacentral:rRNA from 1 species